rnacentral:rRNA from 1 species
GACGCCGGCGGCAGGCCUACACAUGCACNUCGAGCGCUCUCUUCGGAGGGAGCGGCGGACNGUUGANUAACGCGUGGGAAUGNACCCUNCUCUGCGGAAUAGCCACUGGAAACGGUGAGUAAUACCGCAUACGCCCUUCGGGGGAAAGAUUUAUCGGAGAAGGAUCAGCCCGCGUUAGAUUAGAUAGUUGGUGGGGUAAUGGCCUACCAAGUCUACGAUCUAUAGCUGGUUUUAGAGGAUGAUCAGCCACACUGGGACUGAGACACGGCCCAGACUCCUACGGGAGGCAGCAGUGGGGAAUCUUAGACAAUGGGCGCAAGCCUGAUCUAGCCAUGCCGCGUGAGUGAUGAAGGCCUUAGGGUCGUAAAGCUCUUUCGCCAGGGAUGAUAAUGACAGUACCUGGUAAAGAACCCCGGCUAACUCCGUGCCAGCAGCCGCGGUAUUACGGAG